UACGGAGGGGGCUAGCGUUGUUCGGAAUUACUGGGCGUAAAGCGCACGUAGGCGGCUUUGCAAGUCAGAGGUGAAAGCCCGGGGGCUCAACCCCGGAAUAGCCUUUGAGACUGCAUCGCUAGAAUUGUGGAGAGGUAAGUGGAAUUCCGAGUGUAGAGGUGAAAUUCGUAGAUAUUCGGAAGAACACCAGUGGCGAAGGCGACUUACUGGACACAUAUUGACGCUGAGGUGCGAAAGCGUGGGGAGCAAACAGG
rnacentral:rRNA from 1 species